rnacentral:rRNA from 1 species
UCGAGUCGGCCUGCGCGGAAGAUGUAACGGGGCUAAACCAUGCACCGAAGCUGCGGCAGCGAACGUAUCACCCAAGACAACUUUACGGAGUUGACGAUUGACGGAGCGAAGCGACGUCAAAGCGUUCAUUAAAGUCGAGUUGGCUUAGGGAUACGUUCGUUGGGUAGGGGAGCGUUCUGUAAGCCUGUGAAGGUGUGUCGUGAGGCAUGCUGGAGGUAUCAGAAGUGCGAAUGCUGACAUAAGUAACGAUAAAGCGGGUGAAAAGCCCGCUCGCCGGAAGACCAAGGGUUCCUGUCCAACGUUAAUCGGGGCAGGGUGAGUCGACCCCUAAGGCGAGGCCGAAAGGCGUAGUCGAUGGGAAACGGGUUAAUAUUCCCGUACUUGGUGUUACUGCGAAGGGGGGACGGAGAAGGCUAUGUUGGCCGGGCGACGGUUGUCCCGGUUUAAGCGUGUAGGUGUGUGUUCCAGGUAAAUCCGGUUCACUUUAACACUGAGGCGUGACGACGAGGCACUACGGUGCUGAAGCAACAAAUGCCCUGCUUCCAGGAAAAGCCUCUAAGCAUCAGGUAACACGAAAUCGUACCCCAAACCGACACAGGUGGUCAGGUAGAGAAUACCAAGGCGCUUGAGAGAACUCGGGUGAAGGAACUAGGCAAAAUGGUGCCGUAACUUCGGGAGAAGGCACGCUGACACGUAGGUGAAGUGAUUUACUCAUGGAGCUGAAGUCAGUCGAAGAUACCAGCUGGCUGCAACUGUUUAUUAAAAACACAGCACUGUGCAAACACGAAAGUGGACGUAUACGGUGUGACGCCUGCCCGGUGCCGGAAGGUUAAUUGAUGGGGUCAGCGCAAGCGAAGCUCCUGAUCGAAGCCCCGGUAAACGGCGGCCGUAACUAUAACGGUCCUAAGGUAGCGAAAUUCCUUGUCGGGUAAGUUCCGACCUGCACGAAUGGCGUAAUGAUGGCCAGGCUGUCUCCACCCGAGACUCAGUGAAAUUGAACUCGCUGUGAAGAUGCAGUGUACCCGCGGCAAGACGGAAAGACCCCGUGAACCUUUACUAUAGCUUGACACUGAACAUUGAGCCUUGAUGUGUAGGAUAGGUGGGAGGCUUUGAAGUGUGGACGCCAGUCUGCAUGGAGCCGACCUUGAAAUACCACCCUUUAAUGUUUGAUGUUCUAACGUGGACCCGUAAUCCGGGUUGCGGACAGUGUCUGGUGGGUAGUUUGACUGGGGCGGUCUCCUCCUAAAGAGUAACGGAGGAGCACGAAGGUUGGCUAAUCCUGGUCGGACAUCAGGAGGUUAGUGCAAUGGCAUAAGCCAGCUUGACUGCGAGCGUGACGGCGCGAGCAGGUGCGAAAGCAGGUCAUAGUGAUCCGGUGGUUCUGAAUGGAAGGGCCAUCGCUCAACGGAUAAAAGGUACUCCGGGGAUAACAGGCUGAUACCGCCCAAGAGUUCAUAUCGACGGCGGUGUUUGGCACCUCGAUGUCGGCUCAUCACAUCCUGGGGCUGAAGUAGGUCCCAAGGGUAUGGCUGUUCGCCAUUUAAAGUGGUACGCGAGCUGGGUUUAGAACGUCGUGAGACAGUUCGGUCCCUAUCUGCCGUGGGCGCUGGAGAACUGAGGGGGGCUGCUCCUAGUACGAGAGGACCGGAGUGGACGCAUCACUGGUGUUCGGGUUGUCAUGCCAAUGGCACUGCCCGGUAGCUAAAUGCGGAAGAGAUAAGUGCUGAAAGCAUCUAAGCACGAAACUUGCCCCGAGAUGAGUUCUCCCUGAGACUUAGAGUCUCCUGAAGGAACGUUGAAGACGACGACGUUGAUAGGCCGGGUGUGUAAGCGCAGCGAUGCGUUGAGCUAACCGGUACUAAUGAACCGUGAGGCUUAACCUU